rnacentral:lncRNA from 1 species
AAUAAAAAAUAAAAAAUAAAAGUUGUAGGAAGAAGAAGGAGGAAGAAGAAGUGGAUGACAUGUGACGCCCAGUCAUUGUCUACAUGGGCGUCACGUCACAAUUAACGGUAGAUUUAACAGUUUGACUAACGGAUGUAUGAGACUGUCCCAAAAUUUACACUUUUGGUAUGAAUCUGAGACGAAAAAAACUUGAUGUAUUAAAUGUUGAAAAUCACGAAACAUGAGGAUAGUAAAUAGUCUUUUACCCUAUAUUAUAUAUAAUUGGUUGUUUUAAGAACUUCUAUAUGGUUCUUGCUAUAUUUUUUCUUUCUAAUUUUUCAGGCGAAUCCUAACUUACUGAUGCAUAACUGAGUUUUGGUAUAUAUUUUCAGGAGGCCUACUCACAAUUUUCCCAAAACUAACAAAUUAAUAAGCAUACGAAACACAAGAAAAUUAAUUGCAUAAACGGCACCUGGACCUUUUUAACUUUCAUACAAUUACCACGUAAACUAACCACUCCGAUUCAAACAAGUUUCAUCCGCAAUUCUGCCAUAUGUGAUCGCGUGACUUGCACGAUGAUUCCUUUUUCUUAGUUCAGAGUUCAACCACCAGCUUCGUCCAAACAAACUAAUUUUUAGAUACACAUAUCCCAGAGUUGAAACUUGAAAGCAUAGGGAAAUGUUAGGUUAGGCUUAUGAGAUGCUGCAGUAAGAUUUUGAUAGUCAGUGAGAUGCAUGUUAGGUUAGGUUUGUGCUUGUUGAUGAGUUUGCAGGAAGUGGUCCGGAAUGGCUGAGGUUUAUUUGGGGGGGGGGGGGGGGGAAUAGCUUAAUUCCCGCGCAUAUGUUCUAGCAUGCAAGUCUCUUGAUCAUAUUUGACGGAAUUGUACACGGAAAAUUAUUAGAUGAAGGUUCAAUAUUAUUAUCAAAUGAUUUUAAGUAUGUUAGUUGUAUCUACAACAGCUACAAACCCGUAGUACAGAAGUUACUUUGUAUCUAUAAUUAAUUAAGACGAGAAGACUUAGCAUAAAACAAACCACCACGACCAAAUGAAACAAGGAACUCCCCCAGAAAAAUAAAUACAACAACAACAACAACAAAGCCUUUUCCCACUAAGUGGGGUCGGCUAUAUGAAUCCUAGAACGCCAUUGCGCUCGGUUUUGUGUCAUGUCCUCCGUUAGAUCCAAGUACUCAAGUCUUUUCUUAGGGUCUCUUCCAAAGUUUUCCUAGGUCUUCCUCUACCCCUUCGGCCCUGAACCUCUGUCCCGUAGUCACAUUUUCGAACCGGAGCGUCAGUAGGCCUUCUUUGCACAUGUCCAAACCACCGGAACCAAUUUUCUCUCAUAUUUCCUUCAAUUUUGGCUACUCCUACUUUACCUCGGAUAUCCUCAUUCCCAAUCUUAUCCUUUCUCGUGUGCCCAUACAUCCCACGAAGCAUCCUCAUCUCUGCUACACCCAUUUUGUGUACGUGUUGAUGCUUCACCGCCCAACAUUCUGUGCCAUACAACAUCGCUGGCCUUAUUGCCGUCCUAUAAAAUUUUCCCUUGAGCUUAAGUGGCCUACGACAGUCACACAACACGCCGGAUGAACUCUUACACUUCAUCCAUCCAGCUUGUAUUCUAUGGUUGAGAUAUCCAUCUAAUUCUCCAUUCUCUUGCAAGAUAGAUCCUAGGUAGCGAAAACGGUCACUUUUUGUGAUCUUCGCUAGAUUGCUCCGGUUAUUAGUGUGGAUAAGUAUAUAAAUGGAUAGAGAUGGGAAAGCAAACACAAGAUGUACGUGGUUCACCCAGAUUGGCUACGUUCACGGAAUAGAGGAGUUCUCAUUAAUUGUGAAGGGUUUACACAAGUACAUAGGUUCAAGCUCUCCUUUAGUGAGUACAAGUGAAUGAUUUAGUACAAAUGACAUUAGGAAAUAUUGUGGGAGAAUGAUCUCGUAACCACGAAACUUCUAAGUACCGGAGUGUGGUAUCGUCUUGACUUGCCUUAUCUGUCUCAUAGGUAGAUGUGGCAUCUUCUCUGGAAGUACUCUUCCUCCCUCUAGGGGUGGUAUCUGUAACUGGUGGAGAUGCACAAGGUAAUGUAUCAAUUUCACUUGAAGCUUACUUGUAGUUUCAGGCUUGGUCAAACGCGAUACAAACCAUGUAGUAGGAGUCCCCCAAGUCGCCGAGCUAGGGGAUUUGCUGAAAGAGGUGACAGACAAGGUAAGCAAUCAGAGCUUCGGCUGAUUGUUCACAUUCUCCCUAUCUUGCAGGCAGCAUGAAGGAUAAAGAGAAGAAAAAUGAGAAGAGAUGAUAUGGGAUACUUUUGCUUUUGAAGAAGUAACUUUCCAUAGGCUUAUUCUUGAACUGGGCUGGAGGGUUUUCUGGUUUCCUCAAGAGUAUAAGGCCGACUGAAGAAUUUGAGGGUCAAAACAAGUCCAGCAAAUCUAGAGUACGUUCGACCCUGCUGAUAUGAGAUACUUUUGCUUUUGACAGAGUAGUGGAUGUAUCGGCACGUGUGCUGUUACGCUUGUCUCCACAUGCUUCAUUGUAUCCUUCUCACUUGCCCUAUCUGUUUCUCAGGCAGAUGCGGUAUCUUCCCUGGAAGCAUAAGAUGUUGAAGAUGAGUACUCGAGAGCAAUGCCAGGUAAGUAAUCAGGUAAGGGGUUCCAGGCAGUCAGUUCCUGGCUGGAAGCUUGAUUCCAAGUGCUGACUGAUUGCUCUCUUUCUCCCUGUCUUGCAGGUAAGAACAAGGCCAAAGGAAAAGACAGGGAAAAAGCAUGAUAUGGGAUACUCUUGCUUUUAACCCUGAUGAUAUGAGAUAUUCUUGCUCUAGUAUAGCUUGUUUACAGAGGUAUUAUCGGGGGGAAAGAAAGCUGAAUAUUUCGAAAGGCUUCGUUAAGAGUGCCUUCUCAGAUAAGAGGAAGGGUUGAGCAUUUUUGCAGGUCUGCCUGUCCGUUGGGGAUGGAGGUCGACAUAUAUAGGAGUCUCCCUAACAUCAAGUAAUAAUGCUAUUCCUUUACCCUGCUUGGUCAUAGCACGGUAGUGGGAGCUGCCAGCUUCACAUGUUUUAACUCUGUCAGAGCACUUUGAAAAAGUGGUCUGUGGUAUCUGGAAAGUUGAUGUUGCGUGUGAAGAUUACAGACAAGCUUUAUCCAAGGAGAUCCAGCUCUUGAAGUUGGGAAAGUGGUGCCUCUUCGGUUUUCGAACAAGCAAUCUUGUCGGGGAUCUGGCUCUCAAGAUUCGAAGAACGAUGCCUCUUCGAUUUUUGAGAAAGCAAUCCUGCUAGGGGUCUGGCUCUCGAGAUUCGGAGAGCGGUGUCUCUUCGAUUUUUGAGAAAGUAAUCAUGUUGGGAGUCUGGCUCUCGAGAUUCGGAGGGCGGUGCCUCUUCGAUUUUGGAGCAAGCAAUCUUGUCGGGAGUGUUUUCUCGAAUGUGAGUAAAGGUUGGGCAUGUUUGCUAGUCUACCUUGCCACGAAGCACAGAGGUUGACACACAGGGACUCUCUAAUUAUCCAGCAGUGGUACUGUUCCUUUACCCUCUCUUCAAUUUUUGAGAAAGUAAUCAUGUUGGGAGUCUGGCUCUCGAGAUUCGGAGGGUGGUGCCUCUUCGAUUUUGGAGCAAGUAAUCUUGUCGGGAGUGUUUUCUCGAAUGUGAGUAAAGGUUGGGCAUGUUUGCUAGUCUACCUUGCCACGAAGCACAGAGGUUGACACACAGGGACUUUCCAAUUAUCCAGCAGUGGUACUGUUCCUUUACCCUCUCUUCGAUUUUUGAGAAAGUAAUCAUGUUGGGAGUCUGGCUCUCGAGAUUCGGAGGGCGGUGCCUCUUCGAUUUUGGAGCAAGCAAUCUUGUUGGGAGUGUUUUCUCGAAUGUGAGUAAAGGUUGGGCAUGUUUGCUAGUCUACCUUGCCACGAAGCACAGAGGUUGACAUACAGGGACUCUCUAAUUAUCCAGCAGUGGUACUGUUCCUUUACCCUCUCUUCAAUUUUUGAGAAAGUAAUCAUGUUGGGAGUCUGGCUCUCGAGAUUCGGAGGGUGGUGCCUCUUCGAUUUUGGAGCAAGCAAUCUUGUUGGGAGUGUUUUCUCGAAUGUGAGUAAAGGUUGGGCAUGUUUGCUAGUCUACCUUGCCACGAAGCACAGAGGUUGACACACCGGGACUUUCCAAUUAUCCAGCAGUGGUACUGUUCCUUUACCCUUGUGGGUAAUAAUAUGGUAGCUAAACCUUCAAAAUUUAUGUGUCUAAACUUUGUUAGUGUUGUUUCUUUGCUAUUCUUUUACCCUUCUUGGUCAGAGCGAUGUAGUGGGAGCUGCAAGCUUCACGUGUCUCAACUUUGUCAGAGAACUUUGGCAAAGUUAUCUGUGGUACCCAUGAGCUACUGUUGCGUGUGGGAAGUGGGUGAUUGAACAGUACGAUUCAUGUGCUUUCUACUUCGCCAGAAAUCUUCGACAGAAUGCCCAUAAUUUCCGCAAAGCUGAGUGUGCGUGUGACAGGUGCUGACAAGGCUGGAAAAAGUAGGUGCCUCUUCGAUUUCUGAGAUCGGCCCUCGUGGUCUCUGAGCAGCCCAGCUUUUGAGAAAGCAAGCCUCUUCGAUUUCUGAGAUCGGCCUUCGUGGUCUUUGAGCAGCCCAGCUUUUGAGAAAGCAAACGCCUCUUCGAUUUCUGAGAUCGACCCUCGUGGUCUCUGAGCAGCCCAGCUUUUGAGAAAGCAAACGCCUCUUCGAUUUCUGAGCAGGCGCCUUUUCGAUUUCUGAAGCUUCCGUCGAGUGCAGAUUUUUAUAGGGGCUGACAUUAAGUUCCAAAGCACACUUGAAGUAAGCCUCCAUUCUUGCACUUCUAAGAUCUUGAUUUGUCCGACCUCUUCUCUCUUCAACACCUUUGAAAAUGUCUGGCCCCUCCGACCGUCGUUUUGACUUGAACCUUGUUGAAGAGGCAGCCCCGCCUUCUCCAGACAACAUAUGGCGCCCAUCCUUCGUCUCCCCUACUGGUCCUCUUACCGUUGGGGAUUCCGUGAUGAAGAAUGAUAUGACCGCUGCGGUGGUGGCCAGGAACCUUCUCACUCCCAAAGAUAACAGACUACUUUCCAAACGGUCUGAUGAGUUGGCUGUUAAGGAUUCUCUGGCUCUCAGUGUUCAGUGUGCAGGUUCUGUGUCUAAUAUGGCCCAACGCCUAUUUGCUCGAACCCGCCAAGUUGAAUCAUUGGCGGCUGAAGUGAUGAGUCUCAAACAGGAGAUUAGAGGGCUCAAGCAUGAGAAUAAACAGUUGCACCGGCUCGCACAUGACUAUGCUACAAACAUGAAGAGGAAGCUUGACCAGAUGAAGGAAUCUGAUGGUCAGGUUUUACUUGAUCAUCAGAGAUUUGUGGGUUUGUUCCAAAGGCAUUUAUUGCCUUCGUCUUCUGGGGCUGUACCGCGCGUAAUGAAGCUCCAAAUGAUCAACCUCUGAUGCCUCCUCCUUCUAGGGUUCUGUCCAGUACUGAGGCUCCGAAUGAUCCCCCUCCGGUGCCUUCUCUUUCUGGGGCUCUACCGACUGCUGAGACUUCUCCUAAGCAACCUUUGUGAAGGCUCCCUCUUGUUUGUUUAUUUUGACUCAUGUAUAUGUACAUAUUUGUAACUUAUCGGGGAUAUCAAUAAAUAAGCUUUCCUUCAUUUCAACGUAUUGUGUUAAAUACACCAAAGCCUUCUUCGCUAAGUUCUUUGAAUUUUCUUUUGUUGAAGCUUGUAUGUUGAAGCUUUGUGAGUGGAGCAUGUAGGUUGAGGUAGUGUUCCCUUAAUUUCCCGAGUGAGGAAAACUUCUCGGUUGGAGACUUGGAAAAUCCAAGUCACUGAGUGGGAUCGGCUAUAUGAAUCUUAGAACGCCAUUGUGCUCGUCCUGUGUCAUGUCCUCCGUUAGAUCCAAGUACUCUAAGUCUUUUCUUAGAGUCUCUCUUCCAAAGUUUUCCUAGGUCUUCCUCUACCCCUUCGGCCCUGAACCUCUGUCCCAUAGUCGCAUCUUCUAAUCGGAGCGUCAGUAGGCCUUCUUUGCACAUGUCCAAACCACCGUAACCGAUUUUCUCUCAUCUUUCCUUCAAUUUCGGCUACUCCUACUUUACCCCGGAUAUCCUCAUUCCUAAUCUUAUCCUUUCUCGUGUGCCCACACAUCCAACGAAGCAUCCUCAUCUCCGCUACACCCAUUUUGUGUACGUGUUGAUGCUUCACCGCCCAACAUUCUGUGCCAUACAGCAUCGCCGGCCUUAUUGCCGUCCUAUAAAAUUUUCCCUUGAGCUUCAGUGGCAUACGGCGGUCACACAACACGCCGGAUGCACUCUUCCACUUCAUCCAUCCAGCUUGUAUUCUAUGGUUGAGAUCUCCAUCUAAUUCUCCGUUCUUUUGCAAGAUAGAUCCUAGGUAACGAAAACGGUCGCUCUUUGGUAUUUCUUGAUCUCCGAUCCUCACCCCUAACUCGUUUUGGCCUCCAUUUGCACUGAACUUGCACUCCAUAUAUUCUGUCUUUGAUCGGCUUAGGCGAAGACCUUUAGAUUCCAACACUUCUCUCCAAAGGUUAAGCUUUGCAUUUACCCCUUCCUGAGUUUCAUCUAUCAACACUAUAUCGUCUGUUAAAAAGCAUACACCAAGGAAUAUCAUCUUGAAUAUGUCCUGUUAACUCAUCCAUUACCAACGCAAAAAGGUAAGGACUUAAGGAUGAGCCUUGAUGUAAUCCUACAGUUAUGGGAAAGCUUUCGGUUUGUCCUUCAUGAGUUCUUACGGCAGUCUUUGCUCCUUCAUACAUAUCCUUUAUAGCUUGGAUAUAUGCUACUCGUACUCCUUUCUUCUCUAAAAUCCUCCAAAGAAUGUCUCUUGGGACCCUAUCAUACGCUUUUUCCAAAUCUAUAAAAGACCAUGUGUAAAUCCUUUUUCCCAUCUCUAUAUCUUUCCAUCAAUCUUCGUAAGAGAUAGAUUGCCUCCAUGGUUGAGCGCCCUGGCAUGAACCCGAAUUGGUUGUCCGAAACCCGUGUCUCUUGCCUCAAUCUAUGCUCAAUGACUCUCUCCCAGAGCUUCAUUGUAUGACUCAUUAGCUUAAUACCCCUAUAGUUCAUGCAAUUUUGUACGUCGCCCUUAUUCUUGUAGAUAGGCACCAAAGUGCUCGUUCGCCACUCAUUUGGCAUCUUCUUCGUUUUCAAAAUCCUAUUGAAAAGGUCAGUGAGCCAUGUUAUAUACCUGUCUCUCCCAAAACUUUCCACACUUCGAUUGGUAUAUCGUCUGGGCCUACUGCUUUUCUAUGCUUCAUCUUCUUCAAAGCUACAACCACUUCUUCCUUCCGGAUUCUACGAUAAAAAGAGUAGUUUCUACACUCUUCUGAGUUACUCAACUCCCCUAAAGAAGCACUCCUUUCAUGUCCUUCAUUGAAAAGAUUAUGAAAAUAACCUUUCCAUCUGUCUUUAACCGCGUUCUCUGUAGCAAGAACCUUUCCAUCCUCAUCCUUGAUGCACCUCACUUGGUUUAGGUCCCUUGUCUUCUUUUCCCUUGCUCUAGCUAGUUUAUAGAUAUCCAACUCUCCUUCUUUGGUAUCUAGUCGCUUUAUACAUAUCGUCAUAAGCCGCUAACUUAGCUUCUCUCACAGCUUUCUUCGCCUCUUGCUUCGCUUUUCUAUACCUUUCACCAUUUUCAUCGGUCCUAUCCUUGUAUAAGGCUUUACAACAUUCCUUCUUAGCCUUCACCUUUGUUUGUACCUCCUCAUUCCACCACCAAGAUUCCUUUUGGUGUGGGGCAAAGCCCUUGGACUCUCCUAAUACCUCUUUUGCUACUUUUCGGAUACAACUAGCCAUGGAAUCCCACAUUUGGCUUAGCUUCCCCCUCUCUAUCCCACACACACUGGGUGAUUACUUUCUCUUUGAAAAUGGCUUGUUUUUUUUUCUUCUUUUAGAUUCCACCAUCUAGUCCUUGGGCACUUCCAAGUCUUGUUCUUUUUUCUCACUCUUUUGAUAUGUACAUCCAUCACCAACAAGCGAUGUUGAUUAGCCACGCUCUCUCCUGGUAUAACUUUGCAAUCCUUACAAGUUAUACGAUCCCCUUUCCUCAUUAGAAGAAAAUCUAUUUGUGUUUUUGACGACCCACUCUUGUAGGUGAUCACAUGUUCUUCUCUCUUCUUAAAGAAGGUGUUGGCUAAGAAGAGAUCAUAUGCCAUUGCAAAAUCCAAGAUAGCUUCCCCAUCCUCGUUUCUCUCCCCAAAACCAUGGCCACCAUGAAAACCUCCAUAGUUGCCUGUCUCCCUGCCCACGUGUCCAUUUAAAUCUCCUCCUAUAAAUAACUUCUCCGUCUGAGCAAUUCCUUGCACCAAGUCUCCAAGGUCUUCCCAAAAUUUCUCCUUCGAACUCGUAUCCAACCCUACUUGAGGUGCGUACGCACUAAUCACAUUGAUAAGUUCUUGUCCUAUUACAAUCUUGAUUGCCAUGAUUCUAUCUCCUACCCUCUUGACAUCUACAACAUCUUGUGUCAAGGUCUUGUCCACGAUGAUGCCAACACCGUUUCUCGUUCUAUUUGUGCCCGAAUACCAUAGUUUAAACCCUGAGUUUUCUAGAUCCUUUGCCUUACUACCAACCCACUUAGUUUCUUGUAGGCACAUAAUAUUUAUCCUUCUCCUCACCAUAACUUCUACUACUUCCAUAGAUUUUCCCGUCAAGGUUCCUAUAUUCCACGUUCCUAAACGCAUUUUGCUCUCUUGAACUCUACCCUUCUGUCCUAGCUUCUUCACCCUUCCCCGUCUAAUAGGAUCAAAGUACUUCUUUUGUGUGUCCCGUGUAAAGUUGAUAGGAGCAUAUGCUCCCAAACAACUUUGAGUGGAGUCGUUCGAAAAGAAGUUUCUAUAGCCCCCUUGCUCAUUUAACACUGCAUCCGGGUGCCGAUGGAGAUACAGCGACCCUUGCUCACUUAUCACUGUGCUCGGGCCACACAGCGCGCCACUUACGGGUGACGCCCUAGUUUUAGCGCGAUUUCGUUCUGGAUUCAUUUUCAUAAGGAUUUGACGUAAUCAUGGAGUGUCGGUUGUCGACUACCUGACGUCCUCCCCCUCCUCCUUUAUCCGGGCUUGGGACUGGCAAUGUAAGAUAAACUUACACGGCGGAGUUUCCCCCAGAAAAAUAAAUAAAUAAACAAAAUUAUGGAAUUGAAAACAACUUUAAACAGCUUUUAAUUUUUGACUUUUAGUUUUCAUUCUGUAUAUUUGUCACAUAUAUCUUCUGCCAUCCUUUGUCACUUUUUUAUCUCUCUCAUAAUCUCACGUAAACUUGCCCCUUAUCUCUAGCACAAAAUGAAAACUAAAACUUAAAGCCAAAAUCGUUAUCAAAUAAACCCUUAAUUUGUCAUGUUUUUCAACCCAACCCCAAAAACCUAGAUAAGCACCCUAAUUGUUGAGAAUGAAUCCCACAUUAAUGAGAUGAGGGACAUUGCUUGUGCUUAUAAGUUGUUGGGCUACUCCCAUAUUGCCAAUUGGUUUUAUGGUGGAACCUCAACCUUUUCAUCGUAUCAGAGCAGGUUGUCCCACGUAUGAAGCCCAACGGCCACACACGCUCCACGUCACCCCGUUGUGUUGUCCAUGUGUUAGGCUUAAAAAUUCGCCACAUGUGAAGGGGCAUGUUGAGAAUGAGUCCCACAUUUAUGGAAUGAGGGACCUUGCAUGGGCUUAUAAGUUGGUUUACUUCCCAUAUUGUCAAUUGGUUUUAUGGUGGAACCUCAACUUUCUUCAUGGUAUCAGAGCAGGUUGUCUCAUAUGUGAAGCUCAAUGGCCACACGUGCUUCACAUCACCCCGUUGUGUUGUCCACGUGUUAGGCUUGAAAAUUCACCACACGUGAGGAGGGGUGUGUUGAGAAUGAAUCCUACAUUGAUGAGAAGAAGGACCUUGCAUGUGCUCAUGAAUAAUUGGACUACUCCCCAUAUUACCAAUUUGUUUUUGGUGAAACCUCAACUUUCUUCACUUAUCAUCCCACGAAUAUAACCAGGUAUCCAAUUUGAUGGUAGUUGGUUGGAGAUAAUGAUUGUAUGAAUAUGAUCAGGUAUCCAAUUCGUGUUUGGAAAGCAACUCUGAAUCAAGCUGGGGUAACAAGUUCGGCAUGUUUCUCCUACCUAUUUAUUACCAUAAAAGCAGUGAUCUUGAUCCUCUAGUGUACCUCAAGAGAGCUAAGCUGGUUCUUGACAGGAAGAAACAAUCUCUAGAAGCUGAUUUUUCGUACAAAGUUGGAUGUUUUCUAAUCACCUACUUUGGAGCAAAGGUAAUCAACAUGUAUUUUUAAGAAAAAUCUGUUGUGCUUCUAACAUAAACGCUUCGACAAAAAAUGGUUAUGAGUAACAGUGUUUCCUACAAAUCAUUCCUAAAUGUGCCCCAAUAUUCAAAAAUGUAUAUAAAAAGAAAAUAGUUUCAUUCUACUGCUGCAGGUUGCUAGUUGGCUUCUUUACAAGAUGGUCUGCAAUACUAGCUUUACCAUUUCAAAUAUACUUGGCCCGCAAGAAGAAAUUGCAAUUGGGGGCAACCUUGUAACUUACCUUAAAGUGAAUACAUGCAGCCUACCCCAGGUAUAUAUAUGAUGCUAACCAAUUAGUAGGGAUACGCUAUCGAUCUUUGAACAAUGACAUAAUUAGAAAUGAGUAGCUCAAAUCAUAGAAUGACGUUGUGAUGGGGCGUUAUGUUACAUUCUAGAAAAUGCCAGAUGUAGCAAAUCAGAAGUAUCUGUAAUGUAACUGGAAUACUUUUGCUGGUUGGUAACGCAGGCACUUACAAUGCACAUGGUGAGCUAUGCUGAAAGAGCUGACCUGCAAAUCUUGGUGGCCAAAGAUAUCAUUCCGGAUCCAACAUUUCUCGCAAAAUGCUUUGAAGAGGCAUUGCUUGAUAUGAAGGAAGCAGCAUCCAGCCAUGAGUAAAACCUAGGAUAUGACCUCUCUAUAUUUUAUGGAAUGUGAUAUAAGAAUGUCAUUGGUAGGAACCUACGAAGGAAAGCAUGCAUCUUUCGUAAACCGAAACAAUUGAGGAUUUUAGUGUAAUCGGCCCAAUAUAUGAGUAGCCAAAUAUCUAUCGGUGGCUAAUCUAGCAAAAUCUAUCAUUUGACAAGAAGAAAAGAAAAUCCAUUUUAGCUUUUAGAACAAUAGACCAUCUCUUUAAUACUGUUGGAAAAUUUAAUCAAAACGAGUUAAAUCGUUUAAAUACAUUGAUGGGUUGUUAUGAUUCAUGAAUUAGGUUUUGAUGUUGGAUUAUAUGGCAUGUGCCACAUUAUAGCUGAUAGGAUUGGUUAGAGAUAAGGAUGACAUGUCAGCAUUUAUUUUAGCUAAAGUCAAUUAUACUAGCUAUAGUAGCUUAAUUAUUGUGUAAGCAAGAUAGUUACAGAGUAUAAGUGUAAGAAUUGAGAUCAUUUAUAAGAUACGAUUGAAUUGAAGCAAAUACAAAGAAACACUUUCUUCUUCACUAAGCUUUCUCCCUCUCUCUAGAUUUGAUUGUUUGAGGAGAAAUUGUGCAACAUUUGUCUUAAUAUGAAUAGAGAUGCAAUCGUUGACUCUUUAAGACACAACUAUAUAUUAUGAAGAGUCAUUUCCACACCUAGAUAAAGAUCUUAUCUCAUUGAGUCAUGAGUCAAUUACAUUCAGUCAUAUAAGUUCAUGUGAGUUUUGUCAUACAUAAAUUGAGUUUUUGAGAGAGUUCAGCAUACUUGUGGUCAAUGACGGAGCCAAAAAUUUAUCCUAAUAGGGUACAACAAAAGAAUAAUACUUGGCUACUCAAAUAAUGAGUAGGAGUUACUACUCAAAACAGUUCGAGACGAUUUCACAGACACCGGCAGAAUGGACGACGACUAUUGUGAUAACGAUGGUAAUUCAAAUAAGGGCCUAUACUCUACCCGUAACACCAGCAACCGCGCUGAUAGGUCUGCACUCAAAAAGUUAAGCGUGGAGGACUAUUACACAGAGAUUAGUUUUAGGUAUGUGAUGAGAGUGCAGCGGAUAAUUGAGCUCCAAUGUGAGGCUUUGGUUAGGGAGUUUAAGGUAAACCCUUUGAUUUGUGGGUUGGCUGGGACCGUUUCACUACGCUUCAUGGCAGGGACUAGGGUUUUUUAUGGUGAUUGGGGUGAGCAGCUUUUCAAGGACUCAGACACACCAGCAAGGUUUGUAGCCACUAUAAUAUUAUUUCUUCGAGAAUCUACCUGUUUGUUUUACUUGAAAUUUUCUUUUUGUAAUGGUAUUCGAUUUGAAUUUUGAGAGAAUUUAAUUUCAGGGAAAUUUGAGAGAUUGAGAAGAAAAAAAAAAUCAAUUCUUAGGAAUUUUGAGUGAAUUAAUUAUGACUUCUAAAGAAUUCACAUGAAUUGUCAGAGAAUUCUUUGCAUGGACCUAUAGAAUUCAGAAAGUUUGAUCAUGAAUUUCAAGAGUUUUGUAUGAAUUCUCAUGAAAUCAUAGUUAAUAUAUUAUCAAAAGGAAUACGGCAAAAUGCCAACCCAUUACUUCUUCUACCAUUCAAACCAAAGUCAACGUAUUACCGAACAAAGUAAAUACUUCAAGAUGUAAACACAUCUGAAAUAACCAAACUAAAGUCAAAUUAUAAUCAAACAAAUUAGAUACUCCAAGAUGUAAACAAGCUUGAAAUAAUCACAUUCACUUCAUAUUGUAUUUUAUUGAUUCAGAGCAUUCUUCUGGUGUCAUUUUCAAGAACUCUUUUUUCAUUCCCAAGAGAUAGAACCUUUAUUCAUUACUUAUUUGCUCCUUGGAUUCUAGGAUUUUGAAGCUUGAAUGGAUUCUCCAAGUCACCAGAGUUGGAGGUCUCUAAGUUCCAACACCAAGGAUGAUCUAGGAAAGAAGAUGAGUGACUAAAGAAGAAGAAAAUCUAGCAAUCAUCUUCCCUAGUGGCCAGCCUCCUAGAGAGAAAGAGAGAGCUUUAUGUUCUCUUAUCAUUCCUCAAAGCAACCCUAAUGAAGGAUGGAAUUCUAAUGUUCCUUAUUAAAGGGCUCACAAUUAAUAGAAGCCCUCUCAUUCCCUCUCUAACUCGACGUCGCUAAUCGUACGAUUAAGACACAUGCUUGUUUAGAAGGAGAAAACCUUACUCACUUCAACUGCACAAAGCAAAUAUAAUUUUAUUUCUCAAAUUAUCAUUCGAGGCUUUCUAGUACAAUAUUUAUAAUGGUUUUACAAAUUAAUACACCUCAAGUUACAAUUUCUAAAAUAACUUGACAAAUUCCAAUUUGACAAUAUUUCAAACUUAAAUAAGCUUUACAGAUCUAAUACGCAUGGACUGCCAAUUAUAAUAGACUAUGGAUGCUGCAUCAUUUUCAUCCAAAUCAACGUAGGCCAGAAACAAAAGUGACUCCAGUAGAAGGCAACCAUGAAGUCCCAACAAUAAAAUUUGUAACAGUAAAUUCAACAGCCUCGUCAACUCCUAUAACAUGAAAUCCAGGCCAUUGGACCCUUUUCCCCACCCCAGAACCCGGCCCCACAUUCGCGUACUUUGCAAAGUACAGUGUCCUAAGGCUGGAGCUCCCAGCCCCAUGCCACUCCACCCAGCCACUAGGUGCAAUGACAUCAUCAAUGUUGGAUUCUAUGACAACGAUUCUAGAGUAUUGCUUCCACGGCCUCCCCAGAUAUGAACUAUAUGUUGAAUAAGUGGCCAAGUGGCCAAGUGGACAACAAAACAAAACAACUUUCGGCUAAUAAACAAACCAAAAGAAAAAAAGGUGAAAGACAUCAUGAUGAGGAGGCAUCAUGAUUAUGUUUGUUGAAAAGAAAAAUUGAAGGUCAUGAUGAUGUUUUUGAAUUUUUUAUUGGGUGCUUUUGUAUUGAUGAAGUGAGCAUAUGGAAGUGAGAAAGAUAGAGGAAGAGUGCACCAUUUUUCUGUUUUAGUAGCCCAUCUUUGAGAGAGCAAAGAGAGCUGCAGAGAGCAGAAAACUGAGAGCAGAAAGAGAAGAAAGAAAGGUGAUUUUCUUUCUUAGUUGGUACUCACUCAAUCAAAGUUGUAUUUGUAUUAGCUUUGAGCUUUGUAUAGAGAGGAAAUUAUUCACUAUAUUUCCCUCUCUAUUUGUUUCUUUAGUGAGUGAGAGUUACUGGGUGUAUUAGGGUUUUAGGUUGUGAGAUUGCCAACACUUUGUAAACUCUCAUUCGGUUGAUAGUGGAUUAUUGGGUGAGCUCCUACUGCUCCGAGGACGUACUCCAGUUACACUGACUGUUGAGGAACCUCGUUAAAAUCUUGGUGUUCUUUAAUAUUUUGUUCUUGCAUUUCAUUUGGUAAAUUUCCUGUGGGUUAGCUUGAGUUGGUUCCAACAGGUUUGGUGCUAUCCUAGCACAACAAUUGGUAUCAGAGCACUGGUUGCUCUUGGGUACUAUCUAGUUGCCAAAGAUGUCAGACGGGCAAGAUGAAAAUCCUUUUGGAAGCAGCUCCGGGUUUGCAAGAACUACGGUGCAAAAUGCAAAGUUCGAAGUGGAAAAGUUUGAUGGCACAAACAACUUCGAGAUGUGGCAAUGUGAGGUCAAAGAUGUGUUGGCUCAACAAGAUCUACUUGCCGCUUUGGGAGAGAAGCCGGAAGUUAUGUCGAAGCCGGAAUGGGAGAAAUUAAAUUUGUGGGCUUGCUCUUCAAUUCGGUUGUGCCUUGCAAAAACUCAGAAGUAUUUUGUGAUGCGGGAGACGGUAGCAAGUGUGUUGUGGCAAAAAUUGGAAGACAAGUAUAUGAUGAAGAGUGCAGAGAAUCGGCUACACUUGAAGAAAAAGCUCUACCGCUUUCAAUACAAAGAAGGUACAAAAAUGAUUAGACACCUUGAUGUUUUUAAUAAGUUGAUUACCGACUUGUAAAUUUAGAUGAGGAUAUUAAGGAUGAAGAUAAGGCCUUAAUAUUGUUGAAUUCCUUGCCGGACUCUUAUGAGCAUUUUGUUACCACUAUUAUGCAUGGUAAAGAAACUGUGAAAUUUGAAGAUGUGUCAAAUGCCUUGAUGAAUUAUGAAAUGAGGCAUAGAGAUAAAAAUUAUGAUAGUACCUCUGAAGCUUUAUUUGUUAGAGGUAGAUCAUCGGAGAGGAGGUCAUCUUCUAGCAGGAAAAAAUCACAGUCUCGACCUAGAGGAAACUCUAAAGGUAGAAAACCUUUGGAAAGGGAUGAAUGUGCCUUUUGUCAUAAUAAGGGUCAUUGGAAGAAAGAUUGUCCUAAGUUGAAGACCAAAGGAAAAGAAAGUUCUAAAGCCAAUGUUGCUGAGGUUGAAACAGAUGUUUUUGAUUUUGCUUUAACCACUUCCUCAUCAUUUGAUUGUUCUACUAAAUAGGUGUUGGAUACGGGUUGUACUCAUCAUAUGACUCCUCACAAGGAUUGGUUUUCAAGCUUGAAAGAGUUUGAUGGUGGUGUUGUGUUCAUGGGAGAUGACAAUCCUUGCACAACAAAAGGGAUUGGUACAGUUCGUUUAAAGUUGCAUGAUGGCAUGGUUAAAGAGUUGACAGGUGUUCGGUAUGUACCGAAUUUGAAGAAAAAUCUUAUUUCUUUAGGUACUUUGGAAUCCAAGGGCUUCAUGUUUCAUUCAGAUGGACAGACAUUGAAAGUUACUUAUGGUGCACUUGUUGUGAUGAAAGCUCCUCGAUGUGGCCAUUUGUAUUUAUUGCAGGGAAGCAUUGUGACAAGUGAAGCAUCUGUAGUCUCUGAAAAUAUGGGCACAUCUGAUUCAGAUACUACUAGACUGUGGCAUAUGAGAUUAGGCCAUGCCGGUGAGAAAGCUCUACAAGGGCUUGUGAAAAAAUGUCUUUUAAAAUGUGCCACGACUUGUAAGCUUGAUUUCUGCGAGCAUUGUGUCUUGGGGAAGCAAACUAGAGUGAAGUUUGGUACUGCUGUACAUCAGACGAAGGGCAUUCUUGAUUAUGUGCAUUCGGAUGUUUGGGGUCCUACAAAGACUCCCUCUUUGAGUGGUAGACAUUGGUUCGUGACCUUUGUUGAUGAUUAUUCAAGAAGGUCUUAGGUCUACACUAUGAAGCACAAGAGUGAGGUGUUAAGCAUUUUCUUGGGUUGGAAGAAAAUGGUUGAGAACCAGACUGGGAGAAAGAUUAAGAUUUUGAGAUCGGAUAAUGGUGGUGAAUACACAUCCGACCCUUUCUUUAAAGUUUGCAAAGAGGAAGGAAUUGUGAGACAUUUUAGUGUUCGGGGAACUCCACAACAAAAUGGAGUUGCAGAAAGAUUGAAUCGAACCUUGCUUGAAAAGGUUAGAUGUAUGUUGUCUCAGUCGGGUUUAAGCAAGUCAUUUUGGGCAGAAGCAGUUAAUUAUGCAUGUCACAUCAUCAACCGGUUACCCUCAGCUGCUGUUCAGGGUAAGACACCAAUGGAGGUAUGGACUGGAAAACCUUCUUCUGAUUAUGACUAUAUCCGUAUUUUUGGUUCACCUGCUUAUUUUCAUGUGACUGAAAAUAAACUUGAUCCUAGAGCCAAAAAGGCUAUCUUUCUUGGUUUUAGUAGUGGUGUCAAAGGUUACAGGUUGUGGUGCCCAGAGAUGAAAAAACUUGUAAUCAGUAGAGAUGUGACAUUUGAUGAAGAAAGUAUGUUCAAGGACUCUGAGAAGAAUGUGAAAGAUGUCCAACAGGUGGAGCUUGAGAAAGUUGCCUCUGGUACUUCAAAUCCUAUUUCCGCUGAUGUCGAUGCCACUACAAGUGAAGAAGUUGGAGACCAUGAGGAUGUUGAAGAAGUUGAACUUGAAGAUUCUAUUCAAGUUGAAGAGGAAGUUUCACCUCAAGAGUCUAUUGCAAAGAACAGAGGAAAGAGACAAAUUACCAAGCCAGUUCGGUAUAGUGACUAUGUUGCUUUUGCUCUUCCUAAUAUCAUUGAUGAUAUUCCAUCCAAUUUCGAGGAAGUCAUUGAGAGUGAGGAGAAGAAGAGGUGGUGCAAUGUCAUGGGUGAUGAGAUGAAUUCUCUCUUGAAGAACAAGACUUGGGAGUUAGCUAAAUUGCCUAAGGGCAAGAAAGUUAUCGGUUGCAAAUGGGUGUAUGCCAAGAAGGAAGAUGCUGAUGAGAAAAGCAAUGUAAGAUUUAAAGCAAGAUUAGUUGCUAAAGGGUAUGCACAAAACGAGGGCAUUGACUACAAUGAAAUAUUUUCUCCGGUUGUAAAGCACUCCUCAAUUCGUAUUAUGUUAGCUCUUGUUGCACAAUAUGAUCUUGAGCUUGUGCAACUCGAUGUGAAGACGACUUUCCUACAUGGUGAUUUGAAUGAAGAGAUCUAUAUGUGUCAACCAGAUGGGUAUAUAGUGAAAGGGAAGGAAAAUUUGUUUUGCAAAUUGAAGAAAUCACUUUAUGCCUUGAAGCAAUCUCCAAGGCAAUGGUAUUUGAGGUUUGAUAAAUUUAUGAGAGGCCAAAAUUAUUCUAGAAGUCAAUAUGAUCAUUGUGUGUACUUCAAGAAGUUGCAAGAUGGGUCUUUCAUUUAUUUAUUGAUAUAUGUUGAUGAUAUAAGCAAAGAAGAUCCUUGGCAUGGAGAUCACUAGAAAUAGAGAGAAGGGUUUGGUCAGUUUGAAUCAAAGACAAUACCUUGAGAAGUUGAUUCGGAAGUUUGGAGUUCAUGAUUCAACCAAACCGGUUAGUACCCCUUUGGCUCCUCAUUUUAAAUUGAGUUCUCUACAGUGUCCUAAAACUGAUAAAGAGAAGCUACAAAUGAAAAAUAUACCAUAUGCAAAUUUGGUUGGUAGUUUGAUGUAUGCAAUGGUAUGCUCUAGACCGGAUAUUGCUCAUGCAGUUGGCAUGGUGAGUCGAUAUAUGCAUAAUCCAGGUAAAGAGCAUUGGCAAUCAGCUAAGUGGAUAUUGAGGUAUCUCCAUGGUACUCGAGAUGUUGGUUUAUGCUUUGAGAGGGAUGACUCUGGUAUUGGUCAUUUUGCAGUUGGUUAUGUUGAUUCAGAUUAUGCAGGUGAUCUGGAUGGAAGGAAGUCUACUACAGGCUAUGUGUUUACUAUGGCUAAAGGACCAGUUUGUUGGAGGUCCAUUUUGCAGUCGUCUGUUGCCUUGUCUACUACAGAGGCUGAAUAUAUGGCAGUUGCUGAAGCUAUAAAGGAGGUCAUUUGGAUACAUGAGCUGAUUAGAGAUUUAGGGGUUGAUCAGAAGCAUGUGGAGGUACAUUGUGAUAGUCAGAGUGCCAUUUAUUUGGCUAAGUAUCAGGUUCAUCAUGCGAGGACCAAGCAAAUAGAUGUGCGUUAUCACUUUGUUCGUGAAAUUGUUGGUGAAUGAUAAAUCAUUCUCCAGAAGAUUCCAACUAAAGACAACCCCGCUGAUAUGUUGACUAAGGUUGUUGGUGUAGCCAAGUUUGUUCACUGUUUGAACUUGGCUCACAUUAUGCCUAUAUAAAGAAGGUGUUGAGCAGUAGGAGUUUUGGAGCAUUUGACUCGGCAUGAGUUGUUCUCUUGCUAGUGUUUGGGAGUGAUGUUGUGUGUUAAUUGUGUUGGUUGGCUUAUCAUGGCGUUUUUCGGAACUUGGCCAAGGUGGAGAUUGUUGAAUAAGUGGCCAAGUGGACAACAAAACAAAACAACUUUCGGCUAAUAAACAAACCAAAAGAAAAAAAAGGUGAAAGACAUCAUGAUGAGGAGGCAUCAUGAUUAUGUUUGUUGAAAAGAAAAAUUGAAGGUCAGGAUGAUGUUUUUGAAUUUUUUAUUGGGUGCUUUUGUAUUGAUGAAGUGAGCAUACGGAAGUGAGAAAGAUAGAGGAAGAGUGCACCAUUUUUCUGUUUUAGUAGCCCAUCUUUGAGAGAGCAAAGAGAGCUGCAGAGAGCAGAAAACUAAGAGCAGAAAGAGAAGAAAGAAAUGUGAUUUUCUUUCUUUGAUGAGGUCGCACUUGGUGCGAUGGCAAGUGCCUUCGCCCAUGAGCGGUAGGUAUCGGGUUCGAGACUUGGGAGCAGUCUCUCCAUAAAUGGGGGUAAGGCUAGCCGACAUUCACCUCUUCCAGACCCUGCGUAAAGCGGGAGCCUUGUGCACUGGGUACGACCGUUGGUACUCACUCAAUCAAAGUUGUAUUUGUGUAUUAGCUUUGAGCUUUGUAUAGAGAGGAAAUUAUUCACUAUAUUUUCUUCUCUAUUUGUUUCUUUGGUGAGUGAGAGUUAUUGGGUGUAUUGGGGUUUUAGGUUGUGAGAUUGCCAACACUUUGUAAACUCCCAUUCGGUUGAUAGUGGAUUAUUGGGUGAGCUCCUACUGCUUCGAGGAUGUACUCCAGUUACACUGACUGUUGAGGAACCUCGUUAAAAUCUUGGUGUUCUUUAAUAUUUUGUUCUUGCAUUUCAUUUGGUAAAUUUCCUGUGGGUUAGCUUGAGUUGGUUCCAACGGGUUUGGUGCUAUCCUAGCACAACACUAUAGGAGUGCUUAACCAGAGAGAAGUCCAAGCUGGGUACGAUCCUACAGUUUUGGACCGAGAAUCCGGUUUUUUGUCCAGGGUCGGUCCUCCCGUUUGCCAGGAUUGCAUUGUAGCCCUUGUUCUUGCGAAGCACCAGGUUGCAACUCUGUAAAACGGCAGCGGCGUUGCCAAAGAUGAAGUCUAUGGUGCCGUAGAUGUCACAUUCUAUGUAGAAUUGACGGAAGGCGAGUGCAUAGAGAGUGUCUUGGUACCCAACAAUGCUGCAUCUGUAGAGAACUGAGUGAUCAGAAGCGAUGUAGAGAGCCAAGGCUUGUUCUCCUUGAGGGCCUGCUGUGUUUUGGAACCCUAUAUCCCUAGCAAUGAACCCAUCUCCUGUUAUGGCUGCCCAUGAAAUCCAAGAACAAGAUCGUCAUUUCAAAAAAAAAUUCAAAUAUCAGUAUACGUAUUAGUGUGUGCGUGUGUGUGUGUGUGUAUAUAUAUCUGAUUAGUAUCUAAACAAAACGAAACAUUGUCAUAACAUUUGGCGAAGAGGGAGAGAGAGAGAGAAAGAGUACGAACUGAAUGUAGCUGAGCCAGGCAUGGUGGCACCAUUAGCAACGCUAAAAUCCCCAGUAAUAAUAGUGGAAUCUUUUCCCUCUCCUAUCAACGUAAUACCAUCUUUGUUAGUGCGAAUCUUCUCCUCAUAAACUCCCGCCUUUACAUGAAUCACAAACCGACCCCCGGAAGCUGCGCCAAUGGCUUCUGAUACAGUUUUAUAGUCGCCGGAUCCAUCUUUAGCGACAACGGCAUUGGCUUUUAUGGUGGUUGCCUGAAGUAGUUUCCGGUCCCUGGGUGAUAUCCAUUUGGGAAACACUCCUUGUUUCUCAGUUUCUGCAUUAAUAUGGUGAUUUGAUAUACGGUUGACAAGAGCUAGUAGGUUACUUACCGACUCAGAGGCAUCGGCUAUACGUUUGCCGAUCUGAGAAAUAUUCUGCUUGAUGAUCAGCAGCGUAGUCUUUGCAAGUUUCCUGGAAAGUCAUGGCAGCACUGAGCCAUGUUUGGAUGUCAUGCUUGUAUUUUCUUGGAGAACUUUUGAGUGCUAAUAGGGAUUGGUCUAGCCGCUUCAAGGACAUGUUCAUGAGCUCUUCACAAUAGUCUGUAAAUACACACACACACGAAAAUAACGAGGCUGAGUAAAUAUUAAAGUAUGUAUGGUGAAAGUUUACGUAUAUUUUGUACAAGCAUAACUAAAGAGUGACAUUAUGUAGACACAAGAAAUUGACACGAUUAAUGACACUGUCUAAUAUAAUACAGCUGGAUCCUAAGCAUAUUGAUAGAACCUAUAUUAGAGAUUGUAUCUGCAAUGGUCAGUUUUGUGUCUAAAUAAUAACAUAGUUUAUAAAUAAAGAGUAAUAUGUUCUUGCCAGACAAAAGAUUAUGCAACACGACUAUAUGAAUUUGAGCCACACAGGCAGUAAUUAACUUGAUCAAUUGCUCAUAUUCAUAUAUAGUCACAACUACCAUAAAAAUAAAAUUAAAAAAAAAAUAGUUGUGACUACCACCUUUUUUCAGAGUUAUGAGCACGUUGAGCUUCAUGGGCUCCAAAGUGAUCAGUUCCCAACUUAAUUUGGGAGUUCAACAACAACAACAACAACAAAGCCUUUUCCCACUAAGUGGGGUCGGCUAUAUGAAUCCUAGAACGCCAUUGCGCUCGGUUUUGUGUCAUGUCCUCCGUUAGAUCCAAGUACUCUAAGUCUUUUCUUAGAGUCUCUUCCAAAG